rnacentral:tRNA from 1 species
GGGGAUAUAGCUUAGUGGUGUAAGCACCUGCCUGGCAAGUACAAGGUCCUGAGUUUGAUUCCCACUACCCUCC